rnacentral:tRNA from 1 species
AGGGGGGAUAAGUGGUCUUACACUGUGACUUCUAAUUACGGCUGGCGCAAUUCGAUUUUGUGCUCCCUUCUA